AAGCUGAACACUCACAGUUGCUGAUUCUCAG
rnacentral:piRNA from 1 species